rnacentral:misc_RNA from 1 species
GAUGAAGAACGUAGCGAAAUGCGAUACGUAAUGUGAAUUGCAGAAUUCAGUGAAUCAUCGAAUCUUUGAACGCAUAUUGCGCUCUUUGGUAUUCCGAAGAGCAUGCUUGUUUGAGUAUCAGUAAACACCUCAAAGCUUUUGGAUUUUUUAAUCGAAAAGCUUUGGACUUGAGCAAUCCCAACACCAAUCUUUUUGAGAUCGGUGGCGGGUUGCUUGAAAUGCAGGUGCAGCUGGACAUUCUCCUGAGCUAAAAGCAUAUUCAUUUAGUCCCGUCAAACGGAUUUUACUUUUGCUGCAGCUAACAUAAAGGGAGUUUGACCGUAUUGGCUGACUGAUGCAGGAUUUCACAAGGGUCGGCAACGAUUCUUGUUAAACUCGAUCUCAAAUCAAGUAAGACUACCCGCUGAACUUAAGCAUAUCAAUAAGCGGAGGA